GGAGACUCUGAUGCAGCGACGCCGCGUGAGCGAAGAAGGUCUUCGGAUCGUAAAGCUCUGAUGCGAGAGAUGAAGGAAGUGACAGUAUCUCGCCAGCAAGCACCGGCUAACUACGUGCCAGCAGCCGCGGUAAUACGUAGGGUGCAAGCGUUGUCCGGAAUUACUGGGCGUAAAGGGAGCGCAGGUGGUUAUUUAAGUCAAUAGUAAAAGGCAUGGGCUUAACCCAUGUAAGCUAGUGAAACUAAAUAACUUGAGUAUGGUAGAGGUAAGCGGAAUUCCUAGUGUAGCGGUGAAAUGCGUAGAUAUUAGGAGGAACACCAGUGGCGAAGGCGGCUUACUGGGCCAUAACUGACACUGAGGCUCGAAAGCGUGGGGAGCAAACAGGAUUAGAUACCCUGGUAGUCCACGCCGUAAACGAUGAGUGCUAGGUGUCGGGGGUUUAGAUACCCUCGGUGCUGUAGUUAACGCAAUAAGCACUCCGCCUGGGGAGUACGAUCGCAAGAUUGAAACUCAAAGGAAUUGACGGGGGCCCGCACAAGCAGCGGAGCAUGUGGUUUAAUUCGAAGCAACGCGAAGAACCUUACCAAGUCUUGACAUCCUCUGAUCGCUAUAGAAAUAUAGCUUUCCCUUUGGGACAGAGAGACAGGUGGUGCACGGUUGUCGUCAGCUCGUGUCGUGAGAUGUUGGGUUAAGUCCCGCAACGAGCGCAACCCUUGUGUUUAGUUGCCAGCACGUAAUGGUGGGGACUCUAGACAGACUGCCGGUGACAAACCGGAGGAAGGUGGGGGAUGACGUCAAAUCAGCAUGCCCNUUUAUGACUUGGGCUACACACGUGCUACAAUGGU
rnacentral:rRNA from 2 species